rnacentral:rRNA from 1 species
AGAACGAACGCUGGCGGCAUGCCUAAUACAUGCAAGUCGAACGAACUCUUCGGAGUUAGUGGCGCACGGGUGCGUAACGCGUGGGAAUCUGCCCCUUGGUUCGGAAUAACAGUUGGAAACGACUGCUAAUACCGGAUGAUGACGAAAGUCCAAAGAUUUAUCGCCAAGGGAUGAGCCCGCGUAGGAUUAGCUAGUUGGUGAGGUAAAGGCUCACCAAGGCAACGAUCCUUAGCUGGUCUGAGAGGAUGAUCAGCCACACUGGGACUGAGACACGGCCCAGACUCCUACGGGAGGCAGCAGUAGGGAAUAUGGACAAUGGGCGAAAGCCUGAUCCAGACAAUGCCGCGUGAGUGAUGAAGGCCGUUAAGGUUAGUAAAGCUUACCUUUUACCGA